GCGCACAGCGGUGGUGCUAAGUGCUUGCUGGGGGAGUGGCCGAAGUCCCUAGGCCCACGCAGGUGCUGGGUCUGGUUGGAGUGCUGCUCCUACGCCGACUUCCCCUUGGCGCACUCUUAUGGUCUUUCCCUUGCAAGGAAAUGCAUCCUCGGGUGGAUCUGGAGGUGAGAGAGAAAGGGACUAUCUGAGCACUGGGGUUGGAGUCACAGAAGGACCACGCAAGGCUUCAGUGUUGAAGGUUUUGACUGUGGAGAAAAGAGUAACAAGAAUGUCAGCAGAGGCAUUUCGUAUCCUAAUUUUAACAUGAUACUUAAAAUUCUA